AUUGAACGCUGGCGGCAGGCUUAACACAUGCAAGUCGAACGGUAACAUAAAGGAGCUUGCUUCUUUGAUGACGAGUGGCGGACGGGUGAGUAAUGCUUGGGAAUCUAGCUUAUGGAGGGGGAUAACUACGGGAAACUGUAGCUAAUACCGCGUAGAAUCGGGAGAUGAAAGUGUGGGACCUUCGGGCCACAUGCCAUAGGAUGAGCCCAAGUGGGAUUAGGUAGUUGGUGAGGUAAAGGCUCACCAAGCCGACGAUCUCUAGCUGGUCUGAGAGGAUGACCAGCCACACUGGGACUGAGACACGGCCCAGACUCCUACGGGAGGCAGCAGUGGGGAAUAUUGCGCGAUGGGGGCAACCCUGACGCAGCCAUGCCGCGUGAAUGAAGAAGGCCUUCGGGUUGUAAAGUUCUUUCGGUAGCGAGGAAGGCAUUUAGUUUAAUAGACUAGGUGAUUGACGUUAACUACAGAAGAAGCACCGGCUAACUCCGUG
rnacentral:rRNA from 1 species